rnacentral:misc_RNA from 1 species
UCCUCUCUCGUGGGGUGGGCGACUGGCUCCUAGAUGGAAUGACCGUGUCGGCACGUGAGCGGUGAUGGAUUCGCAUGCCGCGGCGGGCUCCCUGCCACUGUGCAGCCAACCGCCGUCGCUGCAGCCCCCUCACUCGUGCUCCAACUACUCGGUGCCUCUCGCGUUGCCUGUACGACAUACCCGGUUCUCGGGCAAACGACUUCGUCCAACACGCUCGUCCGCUCGCCUCGCCUUUGUGCGGGCGCGGAGCGGCAACGUCGGCGGUCCUCGUGCUCCCUCGGACGACGACACGGCUUUGGCCCCUCGUCUCGUCCCGAUCGGCCCUCGGGGAUUCGCCAGCGCUCGCGGACACGAUAGACAAUGUUGGCUCGGGGCCUUCAUGGCCCCCGCACCACGAUCGGUCGGCUCACUUCGCCGCCCUCGACGAGACGACCGUCGGGCCUGUCGUCCCCCC